rnacentral:rRNA from 1 species
GACGAACGCUGGCGGCGUGCUUAACACAUGCAAGUCGAACGGAAAGGCCCUGCUUUUGUGGGGUGCUCGAGUGGCGAACGGGUGAGUAACACGUGAGUAACCUGCCCUUGACUUUGGGAUAACUUCAGGAAACUGGGGCUAAUACCGGAUAGGAGCUCCUGCUGCAUGGUGGGGGUUGGAAAGUUUCGGCGGUUGGGGAUGGACUCGCGGCUUAUCAGCUUGUUGGUGGGGUAGUGGCUUACCAAGGCUUUGACGGGUAGCCGGCCUGAGAGGGUGACCGGCCACAUUGGGACUGAGAUACGGCCCAGACUCCUACGGGAGGCAGCAGUGGGGAAUAUUGCACAAUGGGCGGAAGCCUGAUGCAGCAACGCCGCGUGCGGGAUGACGGCCUUCGGGUUGUAAACCGCUUUCGCCUGUGACGAAGCGUGAGUGACGGUAAUGGGUAAAGAAGCACCGGCUAACUACGUGCCAGCAGCCGCGGUGAUACGUAGGGCCCGAGCGUUGUCCGGAUUUAUUGGGCGUAAAGGGCUCGUAGGUGGUUGAUCGCGUCGGAAGUGUAAUCUUGGGGCUUAACCCUGAGCGUGCUUUCGAUACGGGUUGACUUGAGGAAGGUAGGGGAGAAUGGAAUUCCUGGUGGAGCGGUGGAAUGCGCAGAUAUCAGGAGGAACACCAGUGGCGAAGGCGGUUCUCUGGGCCUUUCCUGACGCUGAGGAGCGAAAGCGUGGGGAGCGAACAGGCUUAGAUACCCUGGUAGUCCACGCUGUAAACGGUGGGUACUAGGUGUGGGGUCCAUUCCACGGGUUCCGUGCCGUAGCUAACGCUUUAAGUACCCCGCCUGGGGAGUACGGCCGCAAGGCUAAAACUCAAAGGAAUUGACGGGGCCCCGCACAAGCGGCGGAGCAUGCGGAUUAAUUCGAUGCAACGCGUAGAACCUUACCUGGGUUUGACAUGGAUCGGGAGUGCUCAGAGAUGGGUGUGCCUCUUUUGGGGUCGGUUCACAGGUGGUGCAUGGCUGUCGUCAGCUCGUGUCGUGAGAUGUUGGGUUAAGUCCCGCAACGAGCGCAACCCUUGUUCACUGUUGCCAGCACGUUAUGGUGGGGACUCAGUGGAGACCGCCGGGGUCAACUCGGAGGAAGGUGGGGAUGACGUCAAGUCAUCAUGCCCCUUAUGUCCAGGGCUUCACGCAUGCUACAAUGGCUGGUACAGAGAGUGGCGAGCCUGUGAGGGUGAGCGAAUCUCGGAAAGCCGGUCUCAGUUCGGAUUGGGGUCUGCAACUCGACCUCAUGAAGUCGGAGUCGCUAGUAAUCGCAGAUCAGCAACGCUGCGGUGAAUACGUUCCCGGG